rnacentral:rRNA from 1 species
ACGAACGCUGGCGGCAUGCCUAACACAUGCAAGUCGAACGAGACCUUCGGGUCUAGUGGCGCACGGGUGCGUAACGCGUGGGAAUCUGCCCUUUGGUUCGGAAUAACAGUUGGAAACGACUGCUAAUACCGGAUGAUGACGUAAGUCCAAAGAUUUAUCGCCAGAGGAUGAGCCCGCGUAGGAUUAGCUAGUUGGUGUGGUAAAGGCGCACCAAGGCGACGAUCCUUAGCUGGUCUGAGAGGAUGAUCAGCCACACUGGGACUGAGACACGGCCCAGACUCCUACGGGAGGCAGCAGUGGGGAAUAUUGGACAAUGGGCGAAAGCCUGAUCCAGCAAUGCCGCGUGAGUGAUGAAGGCCUUAGGGUUGUAAAGCUCUUUUACCCGGGAUGAUAAUGACAGUACCGGGAGAAUAAGCCCCGGCUAACUCCGU